AGCUGAAGAGGGGCAGCUGCCGACAGCCAGGUGCACACGCUGCAGGAGGAGCUGGACGAGCUGAAGGGAGGGGGCUCCCUGCCUUAGCAGCCUGCUGCCCCCCGCCGAGCGCCAGUUGCAGAGCUCCAGCCAGCAGCAGAAGCAGAGCAGUGGGCAGUGGUGGAGGUAGAGCUGGCUCCAGCUUCCUUGACACCACCCUCUCUAGCACUGGAGCCAGUGUCCCCUCGACCAGCAGUGUUGGAGCUGGAGCAAGGGCCGACAUCGGCUGCAGCAGGAGUGGGAGCUGCUGAGCUGGAGUCACCUGGACCAUCAUUUCUAGUGGGAAGUCCAUCUCCACCUGUGGCUAAGAAGCAUGAGAAGAAGCCCAACCUACGGCCUUCCCUCCUAAGCUGGUGGUGGAGCAGUUGACCGUGAUGGAUGCGGAGUGCGAGAUCCUGAAGAACUUCUCCUCGCCCCGCACUGUCAUCUCUUCUCUGCAGAAAACAUCCAUAUGCCACCUGAAGAACACAUGGAGGAAGUUUCCUGGGAGAGCUCUGAAAAAUUUAAAGAGAGCUAUAGCCAAGACGAGUCCUUGAACAGAGAACUGAUGACCAAGGUUAACAAGCAGAGGGAUCUGUUCUGCCCAUGGGCAGGUGGGGUGCCAUUUUUGGGCAGGAGGCCUUGGUCAUGGGACACAGUGGUGUUGGCUGGGCUGUUCCAGGACGAGUUGCCGAGCUGGCGCCAUCAGCAGGUCUCUGGCUUCCACUCACGUCCAUCCUGCUGGAUGUAGCUUCUUCCAGGCUGUUGGGUGGUUGGGUGGGUUUAUCCCUCAGCCUAAACCUGUCCUCAGGAAGCCAGGCCCCUGCUGCUCCUUCUAUCUUCACCAUGUCUCCAAGGGGAGGGCACACUGCCUACCCCAGGGACGGGCACAACAGGGGAUUCCCCUGGCACAGGUGGACAAACAGGCUGCUCAUCCUUGGAUCUGAACAACUGACCAGAGACAGAUGUGUGUGCAUUGUGGGACUCCCCACUGGACCCCUAGAGCAGUCACUUGAGUCAACCACAGGAGUCUCACCUGAGUGCCUGGUUGGCAAUGAUAUAGGCCCCAGGUGGCUUAUGAGUAGCGUCUAGGCAACUGAUGGAUUCUUAGUGGAUCCUGCUGAAAGGACGUUAAGAGCUUCAUGUAAACGGGGAAGCAAAGCAUCCUGUCACCCCCUUCCCUGUUGAUCAGAGGUGGCACCUUGUGGGUCCAGUUCCUGAGUGGAUAAAGAAAGAGUUCAGUGCAGGCGAAUAUCCUGAGUUGUUCUUUGGGGAGGAGAAGGGUUUGGCAUUGCCUCUGUCCGGCAUGGGGGAGAGACACUCCAGGGGACUGGGGCAGGCAGGAGCCACUCAACAACCAGACUCCCAAGACACCCCAUCCUCUCGAUCCACGGCUCGGCCCAGGGCCAAGCUUUGAGAGCUCAGGGGACAAGACUGUUGUCAGUGGUGGGGCUGGGGGUUAGGCAAGGAUGUUGGAACAGGGCCUCUGGCUGAGAGGGGCAAGCGGCCUCUCCUCUGUUGGCCCCUCAGCAACUCACUGCCCCUGUUUGGUCCUCUGUCUCCCCAUCAGGGAAAUGGAGGUAUGGUGAUUGUGUGGUGAUUGUGUGGUGCAGGCCUCACAGGGUGGUAAUGAGGAGGGGCCCUCCACGUUUGCCCCCCGGAGGGCAACCCCCAGAGAGUGCAGGAGAAGCAGCAGCAGCAGCAGGGGAAUGAGAUCAACCUUGAGAAGAGGACUGAGGAGCAGCUGUGGCACUCCUUGCAGGGGAGGGGAAGGAGGUGGAAAUCAGAGACCCUCUGGGGAGAACAGUUUCUGGCUCCACCCCUUGUAUCUUACAUUGAGUGGAAGAUUUUGGUAGAAGUCGAGACCCAUCCAGUUGGCGCGUGGGUUGAAUGGAGGAUGGCAUCAAGGAAAACUUCUUGGAGGAGGGGCUGAUUAUUCCCAUUCUGAGAACAGGUCAAACACCAAGGGUAGAGGUCAUCAAAAGAUCAAGUCUAAUCUACCUACGGGUGUGGCAGCCUUAACUAUGGAUGUUCAAGCCAGACAUUGCCAGAAGAACUACAUCUCUUCACCCAUAGAAGAUGCAACCUACAGCUGAAGAGAAACAGAUACAACACCAAUAUCUUAUCCUCUCUGAAGCCAAACUGAGAGCCCCUGGAGUCAGAAGUUUCCAAGAAAAGAAAAAGUCAUCCAUCUUCGGAAGAGAGACAGUAGAGCACGGACUGUAGGAGAAAGCCCAGAGGAGCAAUGAAGACAAAGAAGACAUGACACCUGCAAAAAGUCAGUGGAGUAUUUCUACGUAACAAACCUUCCAGGCUGCCAUGAUCCUCCCUUUGGACUCCAUGGUCAGGGUCAUUGAAGAGAUCCUCCCUUUGGACCCCGCCUGCCUGAAGGGCCUAUACCUUGGUCAGGCAUCUUAGAAGGACUGCUGUGAGCCAUGUCAUAAAAAGGAGAAAACAUCACAGUGGACAGCCCCAAUUCCUGCAUAUACAGAUGGGAAAAUUAGGUGCACUGGUAAGUGACUCCUAAGCCGCUUCAGGGGACCACACGCAAGCCCCUUCUCCGACGCUGCACACAGGCCUUGUUCACUGGACUUCCUUGGCCUCAUUAACACAGGCAACAGCACUGAAACUUCCCGUUGUUCCUUCCCACAAUGUCAGGGAAGUUUGUGUAGGAAGGUAAUAUGCAAUUUCUGCUCUACUAUAGGGCUGGCUCCUUGGGAACCAGUUUUAAUAUCUCUUUUUAAAUAUACCCACAGAAUCACAAAAUAAUUAAACAAAAUAAUUUGUUGCUCUUGGGGGUUAUAGCGAUAAUUCUCUUGAGUCGUUUUUCCAUUUAGCUUCUCUGAUUGACUCCAAAUACUACAGCACCACACCCUUCUAGACUGGUGGAUGUGCAGCUCCACUUCUUUGCAAGGAGGACACGCAAUAGCAGAAUAUCCAUGGCCCAACUUUCUGGAGCAUCAGUAUUACUACAAGACUUGGAAGAAGCUAAGUUAGGUCAUUUCCAGGGUAAGGAAUUAAAAACUUAAA